GGGGGAAGAAGGCUCUUGGGUUGUAAACCCCUUUUCUCUGGGAAGAAAGUUGUGAAAGCAGCCUGACGGUACCAGAGGAAUCAGCAUCGGCUAACUCCGUGCCAGCAGCCGCGGUAAGACGGAGGAUGCAAGCGUUAUCCGGAAUGAUUGGGCGUAAAGCGUCCGCAGGUGGCAGUUCAAGUCUGCUGUCAAAGACCGGGGCUCAACCUCGGAAAGGCAGUGGAAACUGAACAGCUAGAGUAUGGUAGGGGCAAAGGGAAUUCCUGGUGUAGCGGUGAAAUGCGUAGAGAUCAGGAAGAACAUCGGUGGCGAAGGCGCUUUGCUGGACCAUAAC
rnacentral:rRNA from 1 species